rnacentral:piRNA from 1 species
UGAACACAUUGCAAAAGGUUUGCCUGAUGGUA